CGAGACACGGAAAUGUAUAAUUGUUUAAUCUCCUUUAUCGGCUUUAUUAUAUACGUCACUGACGGCCGCGAAACGAAACUUCCUCCCGGAUCUACGUGUGCGUGUCUCUCUCUUUCUCUCUCUCUCUCUGUGACUUGCCGAGCCGCUCGCGUCUCUUUUAAAAGGCACGGAAUUAUUCGGACUCGCGCGUUUCCACGCAUUCCGGACGUUCGGUUUCGGGUAUUUUCGGUCGUAACGUACUGUAGUAUUGUCAUACCGUGUUUUAAUUA